rnacentral:lncRNA from 1 species
UUUACAGGAAGUACAGAGGACAGAGGAACGUGCUAAACAUCACAAUGAAGACGCAACCAGCUAAGACCAGAACAUGGAACUUCUGCAGGCCAAAUACCCUGAUUUCUUCAACACAUGAAUGGCGUUUUCUGAAAUUUCAUAUUGGAAAGAAAAAAAAGAAGAAAUCCUGAUUUCAUGAUGCCAUCUUCAAACUUCCUUUUUUAAUUACAGUAUACAUUUCCAUUACGUUAUUUCCGCCCUGGACCUGAUUUCUCUGAAAGUAAGAAGCCCUUCUCUGAAGCUACCUGGGACAAAUACAAGAAAGAAGAAGUCUAAAACUAUCACAUCGGUUCCAUUUCAACCAUCUAAUGAUGGUAAACAGAACUGAGAGCUAGACCCUAGGUGGGCAGUGGCAUGAAAUCCACUUCUCUGUCUCUCUCUCGAGGAUAUUUUCGUGAACAAGGGCAUGUGGACUGGCCCAGAGCCUGACUUGGGAGUGAACUGGUUAUGUUAAGACCUGUUUUUACUCAAACUUUGUCAGCCAUUCAGGCUUCUGGUAUAUUCACUCUUUCCCUCUUGUUAUCUCUUUAUUAUUCAGUAGAGUCUUAAAAUUUCAGUCAGUGUCAAUUAUUCUAAGGAAAUUAAUUCAUCCAGUUACUGAUU